rnacentral:lncRNA from 1 species
UCAAAGCUCAGCCAUGGGGAGCUGUGGCUGGAACUCCCAUUGCCUUUCGACUGGCCACCAGCGGAGAUCCCAUUGCCGGAUAUCCCAUCGCCUUUCGAUGGGCCUACAUUCGUGCUACCGCCACCGUCACCAUUGCCAUCACCACCUCCGCCAUCUCCAUCACCACCUCCGCCAUCACCAUCACCACCUCCUCCGUCGACAAUACCACUUAUUCCUCCUUUUACCGGCGGCUUUUUGCCUCCUUUGCCCGGCUCUAAGCUUCCUGAUUUUGCCGGCCUUUUGCCUCUGAUUCCCAACUUACCUGAUGUGCCUCCCAUAGGUGGUGGUCCACCUGUUAACCAGCCAAAGCCGUCGUCACCAUCACCCCUAGUUAAGCCGCCACCACCACCACCUUCACCAUGUAAGCCAUCACCACCUGAUCAGUCUGCAAAGCAACCACCACAACCUCCUCCAGCAAAACAACCAUCACCUCCACCUCCUCCACCACCAGUUAAGGCACCAUCUCCAUCUCCAGCAAAGCAACCACCACCUCCUCCACCGCCAGUUAAGGCACCAUCUCCAUCUCCAGCCACUCAGCCACCUACAAAGCAACCGCCACCGCCGCCACGUGCUAAGAAAUCGCCUCUUCUACCUCCUCCGCCACCAGUUGCUUAUCCGCCAGUUAUGACACCAUCUCCA